rnacentral:lncRNA from 1 species
CAUCUUCAUUCUUCCAGGAAUCGAUUCAUUCCUAAGUUUGAAAAGAUGGAACCUUCCAGAUUAAAUAAAAAUAACAGAAAUCAUCUCUGCAGGUGCAAUGGAUUCUGAAAUUGGAUUGGCCUUCCAUGCUAAAACAAGCUUCAUCUGUCUCCCUUCCAGGAGGAGGUAAACCAGGAGAAGGGUAAAUCAAUAUUUCCAGGGCACACAGCCGUAAGAAAGGACACUGCUCACAUCUGACAGCCAUUCCAAGUAGAGGAUGUCCGUAAAGGUGGGAGCCAAGCCUCAGGGCCUUCUUUGCACAAGAAACAUCUCAGGUAGCACAGGGAUGAUCACAACUCUUGCCUGGGGUUUGGGGGAGAAUUUGAAACACCUCAGGAGAACUUAAAGACCCACCAUUUGAAUGUCUGCUCUGUGCCAUCCGUUACACUAGAGCUCUAACACACCAUCUCGUUUAACACCCAACACCCGAAGACUACAUAGGAGAUUCAAUCCUCUCGCUUCACAGAUGAGGAAACUGAGGAUCAGAGAGGCUAGGUCCCAGAACUAGGACUCAAAAGUGGGUGCACUUUUAGGAUAAGUGGUCAUAGUAUUACAGGCACUCAAGACUGUUGGUUCCCUGCCCCUCAGCUCACAGGGCUGCUGUAAGAACCAAUGACUGGGCAUUUCUAAGCAAGAUGAAAACUGUACUUUGUCAAUGCCGGCAGCUUAAAAAGAAAAGUACCUCUAUUUUUUAAGUUGGUGUUUAAAACUAAGAAAAUGUCACAAGUUUUAUAUUCUUGUGUACAGUCCUGUUUGGACUAGGAUUUCAAAAAAAUGUCCACCUGCCGAAAAUAUUGUUACAGCUCUCCAAAAUCAUUCAUUUACAAGCAUGCUCAAAUUUGUUUUUAUGGUAUUGAUGUAGUUUCGAAUGUUCAAUGACAAUCCGCAGAAAGUCAAAAUCGAGUUUUGUGGGGGAAAAAAACAACAGUAAUAGG